CCUACGGGAGGCAGCAGUGAGGAAUCUUGGUCAAUGGACGAGACUCUGAACCAGCCAAGUAGCGUGAAGGAUGACUGCCCUAUGGGUUGUAAACUUCUUUUAUGAAGGAAUAAAACGAGGCACGUGUGCCUUUUUGCAAGUACUUUAUGAAUAAGGAUCGGCUAACUCCGUGCCAGCAGCCGCGGUAAUACGGAGGAUCCGAGCGUUAUCCGGAAUUAUUGGGUUUAAAGGGCGCGUAGAUGGGUUGUUAAGUCAGUUGUGAAAGGUUGCGGCUCAACCGGAAAAUUGCAAUUGAUACUGGCAGGCUUGAGUACAGUUGAGGUAGGCGGAAUUCGUGGUGUAGCGGUGAAAUGCUUAGAUAUCACGAAGAACCCCGAUGGCGAAGGCAGCUUACUAAACUGUGACUGACAUUGAUGCACGAAAGUGUGGGUAUCAAACAGGAUUAGAUACCCGAGUAGUC
rnacentral:rRNA from 1 species